AUCAUUCUCCAGCAUCUACAUGUACUGCACUGCUUUAGAAUUGUUCUGCAUAUGUUAUCUGAACAUUGUGUAGUUCCCAGAUUAUACUAGAAUGAUUAGCUUGAAUAGCUGAAGUAACUGGUGGUACAAUAUAUGUGACCAUCUGGCAGCAUGAUUUUUAUUGGUUGCUGGUUGCAUAUUGCCUGUCAUCAUGAUUGAUCAUGAGUCACGGCCAUCUAGCAGUGCAUUUUACUCUCCUGGUGUUUGAAAUUUGAAGCUCUAUGUGCACCUAUGGAAACUAGGUUUAUUGAUUUAGCAUGAAUUUUGGGGAUGUUAUAUCUUUCAAGUUGCAACUGCAUGACCACCAAACAUAGUCGACCAGCUGUGAGGCUUGACAUGUUUCUCAGUUUUAAGUUUGCACAUAUCUACUAUACAUUUCAUUGAUUGAUUGCUUUGCUUCUUGUAUGUUGAUAUUUUCUGCGGAUAUACUGUUUUUUUCGUAGUGUUCAAGCACCCUGUUAUAUCUAGUUAUGCACCUUGUGGCUGCUCUGCCAGGUUGCUUUAUGUUUUUAUUUUGAGAAAAAGUCACGCUUCAUGUUCUGUCUACUGAUAUAAGAUCCCACACCAUUGUUUAUUUAAGACUUCCACAAGUUAACUUCUAGUGAGGCUGUUAGUGUACUAUGGCAUUUAAGUCCACUACAAUAGCUGAAUAAUUUACCUUACUAAGCGAACCCACUAAGUCAUCAUAUAUACUUUUACAUAAUGUGGUUCUGAAAAUUGGGUAGUUCUCAUAUUCUAGUAGGAUGAUUAGCUUGAAUUGUUGUGGUAACUAGUGGUGUUGUACAACAUGACCAUAUGGCAGCAUGUUUUAUUGCUUGCUGGUUGCGUAAUGCUUGUCAUCAUGAUUUGUCAUGACCAUCUAGCAGUGUAUUUCACUCCGUGGUUUUCCCGAGUUCUUCGAUUAUGAUAUAUGAAGCUUUAUGUGCAGGCGCUCGCAACUGAGGUCUUCAACAGUCAACACACACGCGCGGCGCAUGAAUGCAGGCAGGCACACGUUUUUGGAGAGCUAACCUGAAUAUCUCUGAUGGUUCUGUAGUGAGUGCUGUAAUGUUUACCUCAAGUUGCUACUCCGUGUUUGCAUGAGGAUGAGGUGUGCUUGAUGUGAGUGUGGCUUGUUCCAACCGUGGAUGUACCUAGUUGCUCUGUGACGAGAGAUAAUUCAAGGAAUCCUUGCCUUCGGUGGUGGGUUAUAAAA